CAAUAGCGUAUAUUAAAGCUGUUGCGGUUAAAAAGCUCGUAGUUGGAUUUCUGUCAAGGACAACUGGUCCGCCCUCCGGGUGAGCACAUAGUUUGGUCUUGGCAUCUUGUUCAAAACUGUUACUGCGCUUGGUUGUGUGGUGCAGUUUUGGGCACUUUCACUUUGAGGAAAUUGGAGUGUUUCAAGCAGGCACAUGCCUUUGGACACAGUAGCAUGGAAUAGUUAGAUUGGGCUUUUGCUCCAACUUGUCGGUUCCUGGAGCUGAGGUGAGAAUCAAUGGGGAUUGUUGGGGGCAUCUGAAUUUAGCCGUCAGAGGUGAAAUUCUUGGAUCUGCUAAAGACGGACAACUGCGAAAGCGUUUGCCCAGGAUGUUUUCAUUGA
rnacentral:rRNA from 1 species